rnacentral:rRNA from 1 species
GUCUAUGGCCAUGCCACCUUGAACAAGCCCGAUCCCAUCUGAUCUCGGAAGCUAAGCAGGGUCGGGCCAGGUUAGUACUUGGAUGGGAGACCACCUAGGAAGACCAGGUGCUGUAGGCG